rnacentral:rRNA from 1 species
GCUCAAAUUUGAAAUCUGGUACCUUCGGUGCCCGAGUUGUAAUUUGGAGAGGGCAACUUUGGGGCCGUUCCUUGUCUAUGUUCCUUGGAACAGGACGUCAUAGAGGGUGAGAAUCCCGUGUGGCGAGGAGUGCGGUUCUUUGUAAAGUGCCUUCGAAGAGUCGAGUUGUUUGGGAAUGCAGCUCUAAGUGGGUGGUAAAUUCCAUCUAAAGCUAAAUAUUGGCGAGAGACCGAUAGCGAACAAGUACAGUGAUGGAAAGAUGAAAAGAACUUUGAAAAGAGAGUGAAAAAGUACGUGAAAUUGUUGAAAGGGAAGGGCAUUUGAUCAGACAUGGUGUUUUGUGCCCUCUGCUCCUUGUGGGUAGGGGAAUCUCGCAUUUCACUGGGCCAGCAUCAGUUUUGGUGGCAGGAUAAAUCCAUAGGAAUGUAGCUUGCCUCGGUAAGUAUUAUAGCCUGUGGGAAUACUGCCAGCUGGGACUGAGGACUGCGACGUAAGUCAAGGAUGCUGGCAUAAUGGUUAUAUGCCGCCCGUCAUGACCUUAGUACGGCGAGUGU